GACGAACGCUGGCGGCGUGCCUAAUACAUGCAAGUAGAACGCUGAAGAGAGGAGCUUGCUCUUCUUGGAUGAGUUGCGAACGGGUGAGUAACGCGUAGGUAACCUGCCUUGUAGCGGGGGAUAACUAUUGGAAACGAUAGCUAAUACCGCAUAACAAUAGGUGACACAUGUCAUUUAUUUGAAAGGGGCAAUUGCUCCACUACAAGAUGGACCUGCGUUGUAUUAGCUAGUAGGUGAGGUAACGGCUCACCUAGGCGACGAUACAUAGCCGACCUGAGAGGGUGAUCGGCCACACUGGGACUGAGACACGGCCCAGACUCCUACGGGAGGCAGCAGUAGGGAAUCUUCGGCAAUGGGGGCAACCCUGACCGAGCAACGCCGCGUGAGUGAAGAAGGUUUUCGGAUCGUAAAGCUCUGUUGUAAGUCAAGAACGAGUGUGAGAGUGGAAAGUUCACACUGUGACGGUAGCUUACCAGAAAGGGACGGCUAACUACGUGCCAGCAGCCGCGGUAAUACGUAGGUCCCGAGCGUUGUCCGGAUUUAUUGGGCGUAAAGCGAGCGCAGGCGGUUUGAUAAGUCUGAAGUUAAGGCUGUGGCUCAACCAUAGUUCGCUUUGGAAACUGUCAAACUUGAGUGCAGAAGGGGAGAGUGGAAUUCCAUGUGUAGCGGUGAAAUGCGUAGAUAUAUGGAGGAACACCGGUGGCGAAAGCGGCUCUCUGGUCUGUAACUGACGCUGAGGCUCGAAAGCGUGGGGAGCGAACAGGAUUAGAUACCCUGGUAGUCCACGCCGUAAACGAUGAGUGCUAGGUGUUGGAUCCUUUCCGGGAUUCAGUGCCGCAGCUAACGCAUUAAGCACUCCGCCUGGGGAGUACGACCGCAAGGUUGAAACUCAAAGGAAUUGACGGGGGCCCGCACAAGCGGUGGAGCAUGUGGUUUAAUUCGAAGCAACGCGAAGAACCUUACCAGGUCUUGACAUCCCGAUGCUAUUUCUAGAGAUAGAAAGUUACUUCGGUACAUCGGUGACAGGUGGUGCAUGGUUGUCGUCAGCUCGUGUCGUGAGGUGUUGGGUUAAGUCCCGCAACGAGCGCAACCCCUAUUGUUAGUUGCCAUCAUUCAGUUGGGCACUCUAGCGAGACUGCCGGUAAUAAACCGGAGGAAGGUGGGGAUGACGUCAAAUCAUCAUGCCCCUUAUGACCUGGGCUACACACGUGCUACAAUGGUUGGUACAACGAGUUGCGAGUCGGUGACGGCAAGCUAAUCUCUUAAAGCCAAUCUCAGUUCGGAUUGUAGGCUGCAACUCGCCUACAUGAAGUCGGAAUCGCUAGUAAUCGCGGAUCAGCACGCCGCGGUGAAUACGUUCCCGGGCCU
rnacentral:rRNA from 1 species